GGUUCACCCCCAAGAGAAUCCAGACUCCUCCUUGCCCAGUGAAGGUUCUUGUAAGUGGAUUCAUACCACGUAGCUCCUCUGGAAGCAAGGUCAACUCCAGGUCAACUAGAUCCUGGUCUUCUGUUUCGCUCUGCGAAGGCUGCAGCAAUGGAGCUGUGCUGUCUGUCAACACCCUCAAGGGAUGGAAUUCUGUGAGUCAAGAACCCAACAGGAGCUCAAAUGUGGAGUGUGAUGGAACAGAUUCUAAAAGGAAGAUGAGAAUCCUUAACUGUAUAUUUCCUAGAAAAUUUUUGAUAAGAAAUACUUGGAAGGCUGAGGUAAAUGAAGCAUCAUAGUUUCGAGGUCAGCCCAAACUAACACAGGAAAAUCCUGUCUCAAAACAUCGGAAAAAAGAGCCUGGCAGUUGUGGUGCACACCUUUUGUCCCAGCACUCAGGAGGCAGAGGCAGGUCCCGGGCUGCAAUGAGAACCCAAAUCUCGAAGGACCUGGAAUGAAUAGGAACAAGAGACGAAAGGAUGACAAGACAGGAUUUCUGAUCAAACUGCAAAAUGUUAUUUUUCUCAGCAACCUUAUAUAGCGGUUGAAGUGGAAGCGUGAGGGGCGAGAAUUCAGCAGGGAGAGGCCAUUUGCCUGAUAACCAAACCGCAGAAUGUCCCUGUGCUUGAGUCCUUGAAGAGCCUUCACUCAGUAUCUGAUGGAAGCAGAAGCAGACACCCACAACAAAACACUGAGCCGAACUCCUGGAAUACAGUUGUUGAGAGGGAGGAGUGACGAACAAAGACAGGGUUUCUCUGUAUAGCUUUGGAGCCUAUCCUGGCACUUGCUCUGGAGACCAGGCUGGCCUGGAACUCACAGAGAUCCACCUGCCUCUGCUUCCGGAGUGCUGGGAUUAAAGGCAUGCACCACCAGCGCCCAGCUUGAUUGUUUCUAGUUUAAAUUUAAAAAAAGAAAGAAAACUGUAUUUUAUUGGUGAUGAGGUGGUCGAGUGGUUAAGGUGAUGGACUACUAAAAUGGAUUUUAUUAUUUAAUGUGCAUGAGUAUUUUGCCUGUGAGUACGUCUAUGCAUAAUGUAUGUUCUUGGCACAUAGGAAGGCCAGAAGAGGCUUAUUCCACCAUAUGGCUUCCAGAAAUCUGAGGUCAUCAGGCUUAGCAGCAAGCACCUUUACCCACUGAGCCAUCUUACCUGUCCUAUUUUAUUUCAUUUCAGCAUUGACAGUGGAACUCAGGGCCCUGUGCAUGCUAGGAAUUAAUCCAUUUCUGCUGCCCACCACCAUAUGUUUUCCUCGUCACUUACGGUCUUUCCUGGAAUUCUGUGCACAUCAGAGUAUAAGUCAUACAAGAACUAGAGGUGAGAGCACUGGCUUGAGUCCCAGUUUACCAAGCACAUGCUGCUGAAAGCACAACAGUGGGCAGAGGACUGUGACAGCUCGCUCUCUGAAGUCGGUGUGUAUGGAAAUGUCUAGACUAA
rnacentral:lncRNA from 1 species